rnacentral:rRNA from 1 species
ACGAACGCUGGCGGCGCGCUUAACACAUGCCAGUCGAACGGAAAGGCCUGCUUUCCCUUGUGGAUUGCGGGUACUCGAGUGGCGAACGGGUGAGUAACACGUGAGUGAUCUGCCCCCAACUUGGGUAUAAGCCUGGGAAACUGGGUCUAAUUCCCGAUAGGACUGCAGGGUGGUGCCUGUGGUGGAAAACGAUUUUCUAGUGGUUGGGGAUGAGCUCGCGGCCUAUCAGCUUGUUGGUGGGGUAAUGGCCUACCAAGGCGGCGACGGGUAGCCGGCCUGAGAGGGUGGACGGCCACAUUGGGACUGAGAUACGGCCCAGACUCCUACGGGAGGCAGCAGUGGGGAAUAUUGCACAAUGGGCGGAAGCCUGAUGCAGCGACGCCGCGUGGGGGAUGACGGCCUUCGGGUUGUAAACUCCUUUCGACCGCGAGGAAGCCACCUGGUUGGAAGGGUGGUGACGGUAGUGGUAGAAGAAGCACCGGCUAACUACGUG